rnacentral:misc_RNA from 1 species
AACGCACAUUGCACCCUCUGGUAUUCCAGGGGGUAUGCCUGUUCGAGCGUCAUUUCAACCCUCAAGCUCAGCUUGGUAUUGGGUGUCACCUGGCAAUGGUGCACCUCAAAAUCAGUGGUGGUGCCAUCUGGCUUCAAGUGUAGUAAUUCUCUCGCUUUGGAGGUUUGGAUGUGUGCUUGCCAUCAAGCACCUAAUUUACAAUGGUUGACCUCGGAUCAGGUAGGGAUACCCGCUGAACUUAA